AACGAACGCUGGCGGCAUGCCUAACACAUGCAAGUCGAACGAGACCUUCGGGUCUAGUGGCGCAGGGGUGCGUAACGCGUGGGAACCUGCCCUUAGGUUCGGAAUAACUCCCCGAAAGGGGUGCUAAUACCGGUUAAUGUCUUCGGACCAAAGAUUUAUCGCCUUUGGAUGGGCCCGCGUUGGAUUCGCUAGUUGGUAGGGUAAAAGCCUACCAAGGCGACGAUCCAUAGCUGGUCUGAGAGGAGGAUCAGCCACACUGGGACUGAGACACGGCCCAGACUCCUACGGGAGGCAGCAGUGGGGAAUAUUGGACAAUGGGCGAAAGCCUGAUCCAGCAAUGCCGCGUGAGUGAGGAAGGCCGUAGGGUUGUAAAGCUCUUUUACCCGGGAUGAUAAUGACAGUACCGGGAGAAUAAGCUCCGGCUAACUCCGUG
rnacentral:rRNA from 1 species